UUGAAUGAUACAGAAGAGUCAAAUUCGUGCUAUAGGUCAUAGACUGUGCCAAGUCUAAAUGCUUUAACCGAACGUCGGCGAUUCUCUCAAAAUGUUUCUCGAUUAGGAUGUUUUCCUCCAGCGGAUAGAGGGAUAGCUGAACCCGUAGGUCGAUGUUCUACUACAUAGUUGCCAGUUCGAUCCCGGUCUUUUUCUAGAGGCAGAGCAAUAAAAAAACCAGACUCAUCUCAAAUGGAUCAAUGAGCGGCAGUGAUUGACAUAGCUUCAAAGGAUAAGAGGCCUGCCUACAAUGUAGUUUAGUUGGAUAUGAAGGAGUGGAUAGCUGCCAAGAGCCUUGUAUCGGAUAAGCUCCAAGUAGAGAUUGAGGCUUGUAAUCAUAAUCUCGUGUUGUUCACCUCUUACACCUUGAUCAUGAAAAUCUUGGUGAUAUUCCCUCCUGAAAGCAUUAUCAAGAGAUAAACCAGAUUCGAUAUUUUUGCAUUUGUAAAAUGGCAAUUCAUCAUUCCUUUGCUUUUCACUCCUUGUUGACUUUGCAACAAAUGUUUGCUUUCCUUGAUUGUACUCUUGAACCUGCUCAGAUGUCAUAAAAGGUGCCUGAGCUUCUGUUCUUGAGUUGGUUGCAUUAUCACUUUUGUUGCCAAGAGAACUCAUAAGAGGACUCAUAAAUGAAAGCUCAGGGAUCGAACA